GCUUACGGACAUGCCAGCUGAAGAUUGCCCAAUCUUGUCUGAUCUCAGAAGCUAAGAAGGCUUGGGCCUGGUUAGUACUUGAAUGGGAGACUACAUGGGAAUACCAGGUGCUGUAAGCU
ensembl:rRNA 5S_rRNA 5S ribosomal RNA